rnacentral:rRNA from 1 species
CCUACGGGGGGCAGCAGUGGGGAAUAUUGGACAAUGGGGGGAACCCUGAUCCAGCCAUGCCGCGUGUGUGAAGAAGGCCCUCGGGUUGUAAAGCACUUUCAGUGAGGAAGAACGCCUGGUGGUUAAUACCCAUCAGGAAAGACAUCACUCACAGAAGAAGCACCGGCUGAACUCCGUGCCAGCAGCCGCGGUAAUACGGAGGGUGCGAGCGUUAAUCGGAAUUACUGGGCGUAAAGCGCGCGUAGGUGGCUUGAUAAGCCGGUUGUGAAAGCCCCGGGCUCAACCUGGGAACGGCAUCCGGAACUGUCAAGCUAGAGUGCAGGAGAGGAAGGUAGAAUUCCCGGUGUAGCGGUGAAAUGCGUAGAGAUCGGGAGGAAUACCAGUGGCGAAGGCGGCCUUCUGGACUGACACUGACACUGAGGUGCGAAAGCGUGGGUAGCAAACAGGAUUAGAUACCCUGGUAGUC